CCAUUCUUAAAUUUCAUCCUUGAUAAAAAUCAUUCUUGAUUAAAGUCUUCAUCCAACAUCCAUUUAUACUAAUCUUAAUCUAAUUGCAUUCUAACCUAACUUCAUUCCAAUCUAACCUAGUUUCAUCUAACUACUAAUUCAUUUCCUAAAAAUUAACUUCAUUUUAAGAUUGUCACCUUGAGUGUAUAUGUAGAAGAUUGGCACGUUGGAAGCGCUGGAGGCGUUGUCCCUCCGAUGUUGAUCCUCUUCAGCCACAACUUGCUUUUCACUCAAAUUAUCUUCAGAACAAUAACACCUCUUCAAGCUAGUAAGUUCACACACCACGAUUCCAAACCGCACCUUGUAUCUGCUCCUGAUUUCGAUCUCCUCCACGGAACAACGUCGAUAAAUGAAACCUCAUCACAUUGUAUUGUAGCAGCAAGCACACACACAGUCGAUGUUGACAGACACACAGACACCAUUCGAACUGCCUAAAUCUCCACUUAGAUCUUCUACAAUAUUCAAAGUCCUCCGUCGCAACAACUUGCUUGUGAGGAGUCGAAACUCAACUAAAUCCCGCACGCAUCAAGAGCCACAGGAAAUGCUCUAUCUAACAAUCCUCUCUACAACAUUCAAUCAAUUUUUAUUUCAACUGAGACCACCGUAAGUGCACCUAUGAGGGCAAGGUCUAGCCACACAACAAUCUGCUUGUUCGUCCAGUUGCUAGACAAACCGCCGUCGGAGUCCGCUCAAUCAACAACACCGCAACUUAACAAAAUAUUCCUUUGCUCUGAUCCGAACCGCUCUUCAUCAAAGCCUCCUCUGAACAACAAAACGUCCUCAAGCGACUAUUGUGGUGGCACUACUCGCACGAGACUCAGCACAAAAUUGUAACACGAGAAGAACAAGUAGCGUAGAACCAACAAAGUACAUAGAUUGUCAACAACCGCUAGAGAAGGAACACGGGCAACAGACCAUGAGCAAGAACAAGUAAUUAGUACUAAGCUCGCCUAGAUCAGUCACUAGAGGGAGUCAAGAUAUAGAUCGUCGCCAAUAGGAAUUUGCAACUGGUAAGAUCCGUAGCAACUAGUAUUGGAGUCUUCAGCAACGCUUGCAAUGUCACCGGACGACAACCAUCGAGACCGAUAAUGCUCACAUCAUCAACA
rnacentral:lncRNA from 1 species